rnacentral:tRNA from 1 species
GUGUCUAAAGUCGAAGUGGUCGAGACGCUUGCCUGUGAAGCAAGUCAUUAGCAGGGUUCGAGUCCCGCUAGACACC